UGGAACAGGGCGCCCAGGAGGGUGAGAGCCCCGUGGGAUGCCGGCGGAAGCAGUGAGGCCCUUCUGACGAGUCGAGUUGUUUGGGAAUGCAGCUCCAAGCGGGUGGUAAAUUCCAUCUAAGGCUAAAUACUGGCGAGAGACCGAUAGCGAACAAGUACUGUGAAGGAAAGAUGAAAAGCACUUUGAAAAGAGAGUGAAACAGCACGUGAAAUUGUUGAAAGGGAAGGGUAUUGCGCCCGACAUGGGGAUUGCGCACCGCUGCCUCUCGUGGGCGGCGCUCUGGGCUUUCCCUGGGCCAGCAUCGGUUCUUGCUGCAGGAGAAGGGGUUCUGGAACGUGGCUCUUCGGAGUGUUAUAGCCAGGGCCAGAUGCUGCGUGCGGGGACCGAGGACUGCGGCCGUGUAGGUCACGGAUGCUGGCAGAACGGCGCAACACCGCCCGUCUUGAAACACGGACC
rnacentral:rRNA from 1 species